GCUCAGAACGAACGCUGGCGGCGUGCCUGAGACAUGCAAGUCGUGGGAGAAUUUCGUAGCAAUACGAAUAGUAACCAGGCGUACGGGUGAGUAACACGUGGAUAACGUGCCUUGAAGCCAGGGAUAACCAGUCGAACGACGGACUAAUACCGGAUAAGACCACGGGAAGUUCGCUUCCUGAGGUAACAGGUGGCCUCUGCUCCUGCAAGCUAUCACUUCUAGAGUGGUCCGCGGCCUAUCAGCUAGUUGGUGAGGUAACGGCUCACCAAGGCGAACAGGAUUAGCUGGUCUAAGAGGAUGGUCAGGGACCCUGGGACUGAGACACGGCCAAGAGUCCUACGGGAUGCAGCAGUCAGGAAUAUUGCGCAAUGGAGGAACCUCUGACGCAGCGACGCCGCGUGGGUGAUGAAGGCCUUCGGGUCGUAACGCCAUGUCGGAAGGGAAGAACAGUUUGCUGGCUAAUAUCCAGCGAACCUUUGACGGUACCUUCAACGGAAGCACCGGCUAACUCCGUGCCAGCAGCCGCGGUAAGACGGAGGGUGCAAGCGUUGUUCGGAUUGACUGGGCUUAACGGGCGUGUAGGCGGUUCGUUAAGUCGGGUGUGAACGCCAGGGGCUCAGCUCCGGAAGUGCGCCAGAACCUGGCGAGUUGGAGUGCGGUAGAGGAGGGUGGAAUUCCUGGUGUAGCGGUGAACUGCGUAGAUAUCAGGAGGAACACCGGCGGCGAAGGCGGCCAUCUGGACCGUUGCUGACGUUGAGACGCGAACGCGUGGGGAGUAACCAGGAUUAGAUACCAUGGUAGUCCACGCUGUAACCGAUGGGUACUAGGUGUUCGG
rnacentral:rRNA from 1 species